rnacentral:rRNA from 1 species
GAUGAACGCUGGCGGCGUGCCUAAUACAUGCAAGUCGAGCGAACGGACGAGAAGCUUGCUUCUCUGAUGUUAUCGGCGGACGGGUGAGUAACACGUGGAUAACCUACCUAUAAGACUGGGAUAACUUCGGGAAACCGGAGCUAAUACCGGAUAAUAUUUUGAACCGCAUGGUUCAAAAGUGAAAGACGGUCUUGCUGUCACUUAUAGAUGGAUCCGCGCUGCAUUAGCUAGUUGGUAAGGUAACGGCUUACCAAGGCAACGAUGCAUAGCCGACCUGAGAGGGUGAUCGGCCACGCUGGAACUGAGACACGGUCCAGACUCCUACGGGAGGCAGCAGUAGGGAAUCUUCCGCAAUGGGCGAAAGCCUGACGGAGCAACGCCGCGUGAGUGAUGAAGGUCUUCGGAUCGUAAAACUCUGUUAUUAGGGAAGAACAUAUGUGUAAGUAACUGUGCACAUCUUGACGGUACCUAAUCAGAAAGCCACGGCUAACUACGUG